UACGUAGGGGGCAAGCGUUGUCCGGAUUUAUUGGGCGUAAAGAGCGUGUAGGCGGUUAGGUAGGUCCGUUGUGAAAACUCGAGCUCAACCUCGAGACGCCGAUGGAAACCCCUAACUAGAGUCCGGAAGAGGAGAGUGGAAUUCCUGGUGUAGCGGUGGAAAUGCGCAGAUAUCAGGAAGAACACCCGUGGCUAAGGCGGCUCUCUAGUACGGUACUGACGCUGAGACGCGAAAGCGUGGGAGCGAACAGG
rnacentral:rRNA from 1 species